rnacentral:rRNA from 1 species
UACAGAGGGGGCAAGCGUUAUUCGGAAUUAUUGGGCGUAAAGGGCGCGUAGGCGGCCUGGCAAGUGGAUGGUGAAAUCCCUCGGCUUAACCGAGGAACUGCCAUCCAGACUGCUUGGCUUGAGACCGGGAGAGGUGAGUGGAAUUCCCAGUGUAGCGGUGAAAUGCGUAGAUAUUGGGAAGAACACCGGUGGCGAAGGCGGCUCUCUGGACCGAUACUGACGCUGAGGCGCGAAAGCGUGGGGAGCAAACAGG